rnacentral:rRNA from 1 species
UACAGAGGGGGCUAGCGUUGUUCGGAAUUACUGGGCGUAAAGGGCGCGUAGGCGGUUUGCUAAGUUGGAUGUGAAAACUCUGGGCUUAACCCAGAGCCUGCAUCCAAAACUGGCUGACUUGAGUACUGGAGGGGAAAGCGGAAUUCCUGGUGUAGCGGUGAAAUGCGCAGAUAUCAGGAGGAACACCGGUGGCGAAGGCGGAUCUCUGGGCCUUACCUGACGCUGAGGAGCGAAAGCAUGGGGAGCAAACAGG